rnacentral:rRNA from 1 species
UACAGAGGGUGCAAGCGUUAAUCGGAAUUACUGGGCGUAAAGCGCGCGUAGGUGGUUUGUUAAGUUGGAUGUGAAAGCCCCGGGCUCAACCUGGGAACUGCAUUUGAGACUGCUCUGCUCGGGUGCGGAAGAGGGAAGCGGAAUUUCCGGUGUAGCGGUGAAAUGCGUAGAUAUCGGAAGGAACACCAGUAGCGAAAGCGGCUUCCUGGUCCGACACCGACGUUCAGGCACGAAAGCGUGGGGAGCAAACAGG